AUUAAGUAGUUAAGAUGGUUUUACAUCUAAUGUUUAGGCCCAAGUAAGUUCUUUUAUAUCCAUAAUUUGUAUCAGCAAUGCCCUACCUCUUCUGUCUUCCAGCUUGUAGGCCAUCAACAAAUAUUUCUUGAGUAAAUCCUUGUAUUUCUUUCCAUAUCACCAGUUAAGGGCUUCAGAAUGUUCAAAGUGGUACAUGCCAGACUUCACUUACUUCAUUUUCUGUCAUAGGAGAAACCCAUCAACAGACUUCUACAUUGUGCUCAGGCUACUUGCUUCCAGUCUAUGCCUGCAUUUUGGAGCCUCUCCCAAGGGCUCUUAGCAGAGAAAGAGGCCUGAAUGGAAGAAAAAGGAAAACAGAAAGACACGGCUGCAGGGAUGAGUCCCUUCCACCAGAAAACAAAGCUCUCCCUGAAGAACUUCCCAGCAG
rnacentral:lncRNA from 1 species